rnacentral:tRNA from 19 species
GGGUCGUUAGCUCAGUUGGUAGAGCAGCGGACUUUUAAUCCGUUGGUCGCAGGUUCGAGCCCCGCACGGCCUACCA